UAGUGCCAAAUUGUUAUCUGAAUAAUAUU
rnacentral:piRNA from 1 species